AUUCCAGCUGAUAAAACUGUGUCUGGCCAAACUUUUAAAUCCUUUAACAAUAAAAAUGUAAUUUCUUUCCAAGAAAUUAUUUGUGAUCAUGAUUUGAAAAUGGAUUGCCUUGACAAUGGAAAAUAGAUGUACGGUUUCACAAAAUACUCAAAGAUCUACAAACUGAGACUGAUUGGAAUUUUUUAAUGGAUGCUAAAAUUAGUGGUAAGAUUAGUUUCUACUCAACAUCCAUUAUUAUCUUAAAUACAGCAGAGAGAUAAAAACUAUGAUUCACUCUGUUUUAAAAUAUGUGGUGUUUCAAAUGCCACUGAUGAUUUUUUAAAAGCGAAACAGAAGUGAAGGGAAAUGUUGAGGCAAUAUGGAAAAAAAAUGACCCCUGACAAAGACUUCUGUGAAAAGAACAUUGUAAAAUACAGCACUGAAAUAGCUGAAAUUUCAUUUCAGCUAUGAAAGUAUGAAAUAAAAAAACUAAAAUGGCUCCAGUAUAAAAGUAGCAGUUUGAUUUACUACCAAGCUUGUUAGGAUUUCUCUUGGCUUUCUUCACUGUACCUUUUAUUUUCUCCAAAGACUUGAAGAACCAUUAGUGCCAUACAUGCAUGGCACUGAUACCGGGUUCCAAAGAAAAUGCUUCUGAGACAGUUGUAAAAAUGAUUUGAGUAGAAUCGUGAAAAGCACUUGUAUAGUAGAGCUUACCUUCUGGAUGCUUUUAGUACCCAGUACCCAUGGGAAGAAGCACAGGCUAGCCUGCACUUUGAAGUCAAUUUGGAGGAAUACGUCAAGUGAUGUGAAGUAUGGCACCGUUUGGUACAUUAGAUGACGAACUUUAUUUCCUUCUCAGCAUGAAGCUUAGUGUCUGACAUCUUGUAUGCAUUGAACAAAUAUUUGUUGAGAGAAUGAAUGAAUAAAGUGAUAACACUUUUGCAUGCUUGCAGUCUCAGUUUAAAUGCUAAUAAUGGAAAGUACUCAGGUGAAUUUAUUCCAGGCAGAGGCAAUAGCUGAGGCUAUAGAUAAGAAAGAAUUUAAUAGAAUCAAGAAGCCGAAAGACCAGGAGGAACCGAAGUGUGGUGGUCCACAAGGAGAAAUGGGCUUAGAGAGGAAGUAGGGCACCAGUCAUCUAGGGCUUCUUGGUCAUGGGAAGGAAUUUACAUUUUGUUCGAAGUGCAAUGGGAAGGGACCAGG
rnacentral:lncRNA from 1 species